GAUGAACGCUGGCGGCGUGCCUAAUACAUGCAAGUCGAGCGAACAGACGAGGAGCUUGCUCCUCUGACGUUAGCGGCGGACGGGUGAGUAACACGUGGAGAACCUACCUAUAAGACUGGGAUAACUUCGGGAAACCGGAGCUAAUACCGGAUAAUAUAUUGAACCGCAUGGUUCAAUAGUGAAAGACGGUUUUGCUGUCACUUAUAGAUGGAUCCGCGCCGCAUUAGCUAGUUGGUAAGGUAACGGCUUACCAAGGCAACGAUGCGUAGCCGACCUGAGAGGGUGAUCGGCCACACUGGAACUGAGACACGGUCCAGACUCCUACGGGAGGCAGCAGUAGGGAAUCUUCCGCAAUGGGCGAAAGCCUGACGGAGCAACGCCGCGUGAGUGAUGAAGGUUUUCGGAUCGUAAAACUCUGUUAUUAGGGAAGAACAAAUGUGUAAGUAACUAUGCACGUCUUGACGGUACCUAAUCAGAAAGCCACGGCUAACUACGUG
rnacentral:rRNA from 1 species